rnacentral:rRNA from 1 species
CCUACGGGCGGCUGCAGUGGGGAAUAUUGGGCAAUGGACGCAAGUCUGACCCAGCAACGCCGCGUGAAGGAAGAAGGCUUUCGGGUUGUAAACUUCUUUUAAGGGGGAAGAGCAGAAGACGGUACCCCUUGAAUAAGCCACGGCUAACUACGUGCCAGCAGCCGCGGGAAUACGUGGGUGGCAAGCGUUGUCCGGAUUUACUGGGUGUAAAGGGCGUGCAGCCGGAGAGACAAGUCAGAUGUGAAAUCCACGGGCUCAACCCGUGAACUGCAUUUGAAACUGUUUCCCUGGAGUGUCUGAGAGGUAAUCGGAAUUCCUAGUGUAGCGGUGAAAUGCGUAGAUAUUAGGAAGAACACCAGUGGCGAAGGCGGAUUACUGGACGAUAACUGACGGUGAGGCGCGAAAGCGUGGGGAGCAAACAGGAUUAGAUACCCUAGUAGUC